UACGUAGGGGCCGAGCGUUGUCCGGAGUUACUGGGCGUAAAGCGCGCGCAGGCGGCGCACUUUGCCCGGCGUGAAAGCCCCCGGCUCAACCGGGGAGGGUCGUCGGGGGACGGGUGCGCUUGAGGACGGCAGGGGCAGGUGGAAUUCCCGGUGUAGCGGUGAAAUGCGCAGAUAUCAGGAAGAACACCAAUGGCGAAAGCAGCUCUCUGGGACGGUACUGACGCUGAGACGCGAAAGCGUGGGGAGCGAACAGG
rnacentral:rRNA from 1 species